UAAACCAAUAAUAAAACUAGGAAGAAAUCCAUAUUUUAAUUAAAACAAACUUAAAAUAAAAGCAAGGGCCUCAAUCAAACUCCUUGUUGGCUCUCGAUAUCUUAACACUUAACCUCCUUCAAUCCAACACCAAAGUACAAAAAUGUGGGGUCAGCAGCACCAUCUUUGUAGUAAGCAAACACUAUUGUACUAUCAUCAUGCAUACCCUCUCCAACAAAACUGCAAAGAAUUCAUUCAUUCAUCAAACACAAUUAGCUUUCAAGAUUUUCUAAUAAUUUAGGGUUUUUUAUAACAAAAAUAAUAGACUUACAACUGGAGGUCGCUGAGCUUGGCAAGAAGGUACUUAGUUGCUGCCUCAAUGUUCUUCUUGAAGAACUGUUGCUGCUCUUCAUCAAGCUUGGGAGUAAGUUUCUUGAUAUAGUUCUUGAUAUAUCCAACAAACUGCUUCUUGUCAAAUGGGGGUUGCUC
rnacentral:lncRNA from 1 species